AUGUUAUUCGCAACCCAAUCCGAAUUCAAUCCAAUCUAAAAAGUCCAAAGAGCAAAAAAAAAAUUCACUUUUCACGAUCUCAUUUCCUGCCCUAUUCAGUUACUCAUCCAGAUUCGUCCUCCACCUCCAUCUUCAAGUUCCUCCGCCGCCGCCUCCAAGGCCCUCCGCCUUCAAGCCUUAGCCUCGACUUCAAGCCUCGUCCUCUACGCCCUCACGUUCUUUGUUUGAUGAUCUCAAGAAAUUUGCCUCAUCCUCUUCUUCAUCGAUGACCAUCAACGCCGAGUUCCUCUUCUUCUCUGAAGAUUCUCCUCCUUAAUUUCGUUUAUCGCUAAGGUGAACUCAAAACCUUAACUUGUUGAUUGAAAUGCCCUAAUUUUUUGUUUGAUAAAGUUCUAAUUUCUAGCCCUUUGUUAACUGAAAUGAAAUAGCCCUAGUUUGUUUGAUAAAAAUCUCUAAUUUAUUAGCUCUAAUUGUUUUCAAUUGCUUUUUUUAUGAUUGUAAUUUGUAUCAUUAUAAUUUUUUGUUUGAUUAAGUUUAUAAAUUUUAUUGAAUAGAUAUUAUAAUCAUGUCUAAUCCAUCAGUUCAAGCUUCUAACGAAGAACCCACAGUCGAACCCCCAGUUGAACUGGACAUUGAACCCACGGUAGAAGAGUCUUCUACUAAAAUAGAAGAAAACCCUAAGAAAAAGAGGGGAAUUAACUUUUGAUGUAUGGUUAGACUUUGACAAAAUUAAUAAAGUUGAAAAGAAAAUUGUCAACAGAAAAGAGGUUGAAAUAAAAACCAAGAUAGCGAAAUAUAAACAUUGCUUGUUUGAAUGUGAAUGACGUAGUUCUAGGGAUACUACACACAUUACAAAUCACAUUGUGAAGUGCUCAAAAACGAAGAGACCCGAUAUUCGUCAACAAUUGGUUCAAGCUACAAUAAAAAAUAUAGAAGGGACUUGUACACUUAGUAAUUAUCAUUUUGACAACGAGAAGAGUCAAACUUUACUUGCAAAAGCUAUUAUUGUUCAUGAGUAUCCAUUUAACUUACACAUGACUUCUUUUUACAAUAUGUGCAUUCUCUUCGUCCAAAUCACAUUGUUUCAAAUCAUGCACAAAUCACAAAGUUGUGCAUGAAAGUUUAUGGUGACUAUAGAAAAUAUUUAUAUGAUUUGUUUGCCAUAUCUUCCAUAAGGUUGAGCUUGACAAUGGAUAAAUGAACAUCAUCUUCACAAAAUUUGGUAUAUUUAUGCACUAUCGCUCACUAUGUUGAUGAAUAUUGAAAACUUCAAAUAUGUAUAAUUGGUUUUAGUAAAGUCCAUAGCUCUACCACGAAGAAUAUAUGCAAUGUGUUAAUUGCUCGUUUACUUGAUUGGAAGAAUUGAUAAUAAAGUUUUGUCAAUUACUAUAGAUAAUGAUAAGUCUAAUGAUGUUGCGUUAAAUUGGGAAAGAACGUCUUAAGAAGUAUCUACCUUGUGGUGGAGUCUUUUUUCAUGUGAGAUGUAAAACACAUAUUAUAAAUCUCAUUGUUCAAGAGAGGAUUAAAAUUAUCACUCAAGCUAUUGAAAAAGCAAGACGUAGUGUUAAAUAUGUCACAUGUCCAUCGAAGAUGGAAGAGAAUUUUUAUCAUGUUGCAAAGCAAGUUGAUGUGGUUGGAGAAAAAUGCUUAGCCCUUGAUUGUUGCACAACAUAUAAUUCUACUUAUUUUACAUUGAUGAAUGUUUUAAAGUACAAAGUUGUUUUUAAUAGAUUUGAACUUAACGAUGAUAAAUACAUUCAUUGUCCUUCAGAGGAAAAAUAGAAUUAUGUUGAAACUUUGAGUAAAUGUUUGAAACACUUUUAUGAUGCAACUAAUCUCUUUUUCGAUAGUAUGUAUCCCACUUACAAUCUUUUAUUUGAAGAAUUUUGUGAAAUUCAAUCAUUUCUAACGGAAUGGUUGAAAAGUAAUGAUGAUACAAUUGUGUCUAUGGCUUUUGUAAUGAAAAGAAAGUUUGAUAAAUAUUGGAGCAUGUGCAAUAAGAUUUUGCGGUGGCUAUUUUUCUUGAUCUGAGAUACAAAAUGAUUGCAAUAUAAUAUUACUUUAAAGAGAUUUAUGGUGUAGAUGCCGAAAUGUGUGCACUUGAAGUUUUAGAUGUCAUUAAAAAUGUAUGGGAAAUAUGCAUCUCUUGAAAAAAAAGAAUAAAAAAUAAUGAAAACGCUUCAAGCUCGCAAAUAAAAGAAGUGGAAAGAGUUUGUGAUAAAAAAAAUCUAGAUUCGUAUAAUUUGUUGAAACUAUUGAGAAGGAGCCUACAAAGAUGGAUUUGGAUUCAUAUACAGAAGAGAGUAUUGUUCGAUGCGAUGAUGACACAACAGAGAAAUUUGAUAUAUUUGAUUGGUGGAAAUCAAGUAGUGGAAAGUAUCAUAUACUAGUAAAAGUUGUAAAAUAUGUUUUGGGUAUACCGGCCUUAACCUUGGCUUCUGAAUCGGCUUUUAGCACCGGGGCCGUGUGAUUCAUUGUUAUAGAAGUCAAAUAACAACGGAGUCGUUGGAGGGUUUGAUAUAUGCGCAAGAUUGGAUUAGAGUGGAAAAAAGGAGUUACUCAAGUGCAGACUAUGAAGGGUGAUGCUCUUGAUGUUGUUUCUCUUUCGGAUGUCGAUGACUCGAAGAUUGUCGAGACUUUUAUAAAAUCACCUAUAUAGAUGACGUUGUGGAGGUCCACGACUGGGAUGAUGAGAUUUAAUCUCUCUUACAUUAUUGGGUCUCAUCUUUUGGUUUAUAUUGUGUUUUCAAGAACAUGGUUAUCUUAGUUUAGAAGUUUUUAUGUUUUCUUUGCUUAGGGAACUACGUUAUAGAAGUUGUGGGUUUUUAAUUUACUGUAUGUGACUUUGCUCAUGUCUUAGUUUGUAGUGACUUUGUUUAUGAAUUUGUGACAUGUUGUUUCUAGAUUUGUCUAUUAUUUCCGGAUUAUGACUUUUA